rnacentral:lncRNA from 7 species
CAGAGCUGCAUCUGACCUAUGAGAGGCAACUGGGGGCGGGACAGAGCUGCUGCAGACCAAUGAGAGGCAAGCGGGGGUGGGACAGAGCUGCUGCUGACCAAUGAGAGACAACUGGGGGCGGGACAGAGCUUCCGCUGACGAAUGAGAGGUCGACACGGGCCUGCACCGAGCUGGGAGCAAAGUGGACACCCCCAAAGCAGCGGCAGCAACGGGAAGGGGCUCCAAGAAGCAAAGGAUGGCGGCGAGGCGCUGCCGGGAGCAGCAAAAGGCAGUGAGGCUCUCCCUGAAGCACCACAGCGGUUUGUUCGCCCACAGCACACACGCGUGUGUGGCCCCAUCCCUGCGUGCAACCACAUGCACGCACACACAUGCAACCCCAUCCCGUUGCACAGCAGUGCACGCGCAAAGACGCGUGCAGCCUCAUCUGAAGCUCCACAGGCAGGAGGAGACGGGCCGAGGAGAGCGCUCCCUCGGAUGCAAGGCAGUGGGCAGCCAUGGCAAAGGCUGAGGUGCUCAGUGAGAGCUUUGCCUCGGUCUUUGCAGGUGGUCGGACCUGCAGCCCGACUUACAGAAGAAGAUGAGGAGUUCCCCAGCAGGAAGCCACAAACCCGGCAGGAACCUGCAGGGGAAAUGCCAGGAGGAAAUGCAGCCCCAGCGUCUGAGCAGCGCCUGGCCAUGGAGUGCUGCGGCCCAAGAACAGCGCUAUUCUGCCCUUGCCGAGAUGGCUUUCCAAGGAGGACUUGUCUGUGGGGGUUAUUUGGGUUAUGUGGGCUCGUUGGGGUCUGUCCUCACAAAAACCAGAGGGCUGGCUCAUCCAAAAGCUUGGUGAUUGCUUGGAAGCCCAAACCCUUCUGGCCUCCAGUAACCCCAUUGGCCCCACU